GUCCCCGUAGCUCAGCUUGGAUAGAGCAACUGCCUUCUAAGCAGUAGGUCGCAGGUUCGAAUCCUGCCGGGGACGCCA
rnacentral:tRNA from 1 species